UCAGCUGAUUUUUAAAAUUUG
rnacentral:piRNA from 1 species